GGGAUAUUAGUUAAAUAAUAAUAUUAGCUUGUCGUGCUAAAGUUACUUCUUUGUAGUAUAUCCUU
rnacentral:tRNA from 1 species